rnacentral:rRNA from 1 species
AUGGUGGGCAAGCCUAUGUGGGAGUUAUGGUGGUGGUGGUUGAUGAAGAAGCAAUCAUCCCUAAGUAGCCUAGACACCUUAGGAGACUCAAAUCACAACUCAAACAACCACAAAUGCUAUAAGGGACAAAAUUGGUUAGGUUGCGGAAGUAUGUGGUGGUUAUGCGGAGGUUGUGGUGGAAGCUCUAGGCAAAGAUGCCAAAGUUCCAAAAAAUUGAUUGAGUCAAAAGAUGUUGGUGGUAUUUUUUUGGGAAUGGCGAUGUCAAUAGCUUCAAAACGAGCUAAAGAACGUCAAAAACGGACUCCGGAUGAAUUAGUUAUGGACAAAAUGGUGAAAUGGGAAAGGCUAAAAUGCCAGGGGUCGGACAUCCGGGCUUGGGGGCCGGAUAUCCGGGGGCUGAUGUCCAGAACCGUGCGGAAUUUGUGCUCCAGGAGCCGGAUGUCCGGCUUGGGGCCCGGAUGUCCGGCCCGAUGGCCCGGAUGUCCGGCCUGA